rnacentral:rRNA from 1 species
ACGACGCUGGCGGCGUGGAUUAGGCAUGCAAGUCGAACGGUAUCAUCCUUUCGGGGAUGAGAGAGUGGCGAACGGGUGAGUAACACGUAGGUGAUCUACCCUCAAGACGGGGACAACCCAGGGAAACUUGGGCUAAUACCGGAUGUGAGCUAUCGUGAGAUAGUUUGAAAGGUGGCUUCGGCUGCCGCUUGAGGAUGAGCCUGCGUCCUAUUAGCUAGUUGGUGAGGUAACGGCUCACCGAGGCAGUGAUAGGUAGGCGGCCUUAACGGGUGGUCGCCCACACUGGGAUUGAGAUACGGCCCAGACUCCUACGGGAGGCAGCAGUCGAGAAUAGUCUACAAUGGUCGAAAGACUGAUAGUGCGACGCCGCGUGAACGAAGAAGCCCUUCGGGGUGUAAAGUUCUUUUAUAUGUGAGCAGUGCUUUCUAUGUGAACAGCAUGGGGAGAGAGAUAUUAGCAUAUGAAUAAGCAACGGCUAACUCCGUG